UACCUUUAAAAUUUCUAGUAUCCUGCUUGGUAGUCAUGACUCAUGACUUUGAUGCCACUAACCGGAACAGAGACACCGCCACGAUCACGCGUGGCAGAACUUUGUUUGGACCUUUGGAGCACAUCACAUCUGGUGAAACCGCUAAGCCGCUAACCCCUUACCCUAAUUUACAUCGUGUAUUGGAUGUGUUUACUGUAAUGUUUAGUUGUUUAUAUAAUAUAUGUGAACAAUCUUGUGAUAUAUUUGAAUUUUUGGUAGUGAAUGAGUACUUCAGUUGUCUUCCUUGUGGACACAUAUAUGGCAUGCCUUGCAUCAAAAAAUGGCUUCAACACCGCAGAAGUUCCCAUAAGGUAGCUGUAGACUGUGGUUGGUUGAGACUUGAGAGGUGCUUUCUGAUAUUUGUGUACCCAAAAAUUGUACAUUGACUCUUUUUUUUUUAUAAUCUUUUUUGUGUUUAAUUGUCCUAUUGUCCUCAAUGUAAAAUGAAAUGUUUGUUGAAGGAUGUGAGGAAACUCUAUGCAAAAUGAAAUGUUUGUUGAAGGAUGUGAGGAAACUCUAUGCCUCUCCAGGAGUUGCCAUCGAUGAAGAAUCUCAUAAAGAAUUGGGUCAAUUGAGGCCAAAUGUACCGCCCUUGAAACUGUGGUAGGAUGCCGUUGAGACUAACUCUGUCAUAUGUAGAUACUGUCUUUUCUUCCUGGUUUUGAUUAUCCUGGAAUAUGAGGCUAUACUGCUAUUAUUCUUGGUUAAGAACAUUAUAUCAAAUGUGUUCUUAGGGCUUUGGUUGGCACAAGAAAGAAGCUGCCUUCCAUCUUCAAGUUCAGAAACUUACAGAGAGAAACACUUAUUUGGAGCAGCUGCUACUAGAUAUGCAGAACAGGGAAUCUGCAUCGAUAAAUAGCAAUUUUGAAUUGCAGGAGGACUAUCAACAACGUGUUAAUCAAACGCAGAUUGGUGAGGUCUCGAUGGGUGUGACGCAAGAGGAAGGACGAGUUGCCCACAUUGCAGAUUUACUUGCAAACUUCUGUCUUAGUGUGUCGUGGCAGACUCAGAGUCUCAAACUCCUUCAUCGAGUAGUGGCACACUUGGAGAAGAUCGAUAAGGCUUUUAGCAGAUGGUGGUUAUAAAUGUUAGCAAAUUAAAAAGAAAGUGGUCUCCUCUAACAAAAAACACCUUUUUUUUUUGCCAAACUGGUUCCACUGCAUGACCCUUUUCCUUCCUAAUGCCGAUGUAAAAAAAAAGUUUGCUUCUUUGUAGUAGUAACGAUUGCAAGUUGAUUAUAUUAAUUGUAAUAUUUGUAAGUUGAUUUUAUUGUAACGAUUUCAAGAGGCAAACGACUAUUCCUCUAUUUUCAAGGAUGAAAUGAAUGAGAAAAAUCAACUGAACCC